AUCUAUGCCCGGCCAGGACGAAGCCAGGGGAAACUCUGGUGGAGGUCCGCAGCGAUUCUGACGUGCAAAUCGAUCGUCUGAGCCGGGUAUAGGGGCGAAAGACUAAUCGAACCAUCUAGUAGCUGGUUCCGUCCGAAGUUUCCCUCAGGAUAGCUGGCACUCGCCUGGAGGAGUCUCAUCCGGUAAAGCGACUGAUUAGAGGCUUUGGGGUCGCAAUGACCUCGACCUAUUCUCAAACUUUAAAUGGGUGAGAAGCAGAGCUUCCCUAAACGGUCGAAGCUCUGUGUCUUCUUCGGAUCCACGAGUGCCCAGUGGGCCAAUUUUGGUAAGCAGAACUGGCGCUGUGGGAUGAACCAAAAGCCGGGUUAAGGUGCCUGAGUUGACGCGCAUCAGACACCAUUAAAGGCGUCGGUGGCUAAAGACAGCAGGACGGUGGCCAUGGAAGUCGGCA
rnacentral:rRNA from 1 species